AAAUUUUUAUAUACAAAUGAUAUAUAUUUGAUUUUUAGAGCAUUUUUUGCGUAUUAAUGAAAAAAAAUUGUCUACAAAAAUUUUUGUAGAUUUCUUAAAAAGUAAGGUAGCGGCAAACUAUAUUAAUCAAUGCCGGGAUAACAAGAAACACGGCCUCGCUGUUGUCUAAUAGAAGAUAUUAAUUAUAUGAUUCCGUGUAAUUCUACCAGGUAUGACGACCUGCGUUGGAUGUACUCUUGAUUUUUUUAUGGGUAGAUUUUAAUGGAAUAAAUUGGGAACCUGUCCCAAAUAUUGGCAUUUUAGAAUCAGCUUUUAGAGAAAUGGCACUCAUCAGGAUCAGUCGAAGAUAGGAAUAAAUGCCAGAGGAUGUUGUGUACUGCACUCGUGGCUUUGUUUAUUCUAGGAAAACUGCAUAGAAAAUGCCCAAGUAACAAGUUAAAUCCUUUUUCCGUUCUAUCUUCCCAGAUAUUUUCGCCAGAUCUUUGAAUAAAGAGAAUUUAGAUGGAUUCUGAUAAUAUCAGCACUUUGUUCUUCACUUAAUGA